CUCCACUCCACCUGCCACCUCCACUCCACCUGCCACCUCCACUUCAGAGAAAUAUGUUACAGAGGCUUGGGACGGCAAAAAUGUUCAUGUUCUGCUGUCCAGAAUCGGACCAUACAAGCUGUUCUAUUGGGACAUCUGUAGGACAACUCCGGGUCAGGAACUUGAGAGUGAGGUGAUCAAUGCCACCCUGUUCAGAA